UAUAUAUAUAUAUAUAUAUAUAUAUAUAUAUAUAUAUAUAUAUAUAUAUAUAUAUAUAUAUAUAUAUAUAUAUUGCUCCUAAAGGGCUAUUACACUGGGCAAAUUUUCCGUGGAUCUUCAGUCACAUCACGAUUUCCGCUAGCGUGAUUUUCAUUUGUUUCUUGCUAUUGCUGCUCCUGAUGAUGGUGAGUAAUACCGUCGUCCUUCGGUGAAGUCUACCGUAGCCUUGGAAGAUCGUGGACACGUCAGAAAACCACGGAAAUAUGAGAACCGCGUCAGCGGAAAUCGUGGUUUGACUGAAGAUCCACGGAAAAUUUGCCCAGUGUAAUAGCCCCUUAAGUGGCGGCCACUCUUGAACAGGGCAUGUUACGUUGGGUUAAAUUAGGUUAGGUUUACUUGGAGUCAUGCAGGGUAAUUUUGAGCGGGACUAACAAUGAAAGUAUUUUCGAAACCGCCCCGUGAUUAGUUUCGAGGCUACAGCCGAGCGUCUUCACUCAGGGAUCAUGCAUACACCCGUAGAGAGAUUGGGGAUAUGGAAAAUAUGCCUCCAGGUCUCGAUCCUCAAGCUGUGGCCAGGUACAUUUUAACUGCCUAAAAGAUGGUCGGUGGCGUUCAUUGAUUAACGGUAGCAGCGACGGGCCAAAUUUGUGGCUUCACCGUGUAGCAGCGACGGGUCAAAUUUGUGCCAUGAUAUAAACCCCCCAAAAUAGAUGAUACAUAAUCUGAUUAGAAAUGCUUUGAUAUAUAUUAUGAAAUGGUUUGUGUGAGGGGUGAUUUUUUCUCAUUUUUCUCGCUUGGGGGACCAUAAAGAAAAGUGAUCCCCGCUGCUACCACCGGGUUAACUGUGUGGCUGUGCGGGUAAAGUUAGUGUACUGUGUAAUUAGCGUUUAUGCAUUUAUAAGUAUAACAUAUGUAGCUGAGGGUGUCCUUUUUUUUUUUUUAACGCUACGCCUAUAGCGCCGGUAGGCUUGCUUGAGGGGCCUGGAUGGUGUUUGGCCCCAGCCCGUCAUGGCGCAGGCAGGUGUUUCUAGUGGCGCCAUCUUCUCUUGGCUCAUGCUGCCCCCCGGAACUCGUUCUUGAUUCACUCGGACGGUUUCCUCUAGAGUCCGGGUUGAUGGGUGGUCUUCAGGACAGCAUGUGGGUAGUUUUAACUCGUCUGCUGCGAUUAGCACGGAUUUCGCCUUCACUGGUAGCCUGAUAACAUAUGCUCCCAGGUCUUUCUGUGCCUCUGUGGUGAGUAGUGGAGUGUUUCCCAUGUGGUAUUGGUGUGCUGGAUAUCCCUUCACUGGUAGCCUGGUAACAAAUGCUCCCAGGUCUUUAUGUGCCUCUGUGGUGGGUAGUGGAGUGUUUCCCAUGUGGUAUCGGUGUGCUGGAUAUCCCUUCACUGGUAGCCUCGUGCCAUACACUCCCAGGUCUUUAUGUGCCUCUGUGGUGGGUAGUGGAGUGUUUCCCAUGUGGUAUUGGUGUGCUGAAUUUCCCCUCCCGAGAUGCAUGACCUCACAUUUUUCUUCAUUAAAUUGGAGCAGCCACUUUUUGCUCCACUCCUGUAGCUUGGUGAUGUCUUCUUGUCGGAAAUCCGCAUCCAAUGGGUUAAGCCACUCGCCGGUGACUGAAAAAUCCGAGGUGGCAGCGUGGGGAUUCGAACCCGCGUUGUCCUGGUGGCUGUUUCGUGCUCCCUAGUAUUUAGUUCGCAUACGCCACUUCACUGUCUUGUUGUCGUUUCAUUAACAAGUCUAUCAGUUAUCUGUGUUACACUCCAUGGCAGUAAUGAUGGCAAUUCAAGUUUGUAAAGAGUCGUCAUUUGUGUUGCUACGUUCUUCCCACACUCUAAAGCAACACUGCUAUUUAUAUGUAAUGAGGAAUGGUGAGGAGUAACCAGCCUCGGCGUGGCCUAUAAUUAUAUCAUUGUAAUGUUUUUAAUUGACGCCUGACUGUUGAGCCUUGUCUCACACACACACACACACACACACACACACACACACAUUAACCCCCCCCAUCCAUACAUAAUAUUAACAAGCAGAACAAUAAUAAUACUGAAAUACUGUAUGAAGAGUUCCUAUAUAAGUAGUUUAAGCCACAAGAGAGAGAGAGAGAGAGAGAGAGAGAGAGAGAGAGAGAGAGAGAGAGAGAGAGAGAGAGAGAGAGAGAGAGAGAGAGAGAGAGAGAGCAAACAAUAUAUUUCUCCAGUAUACGAAUGUCUGACUGAAUAAGUUAGUAAAUAGUUGAGUAAGUAAAUAGAUGAAUAUAUUGUAAGUGAGACGUUGCGUUACUGUUGUUGUUGAAGAUGAUGUAAAUAAUUAUGAUUUUUUAAUUA